AAAAACUAUGUGUCUUCUUCACUUUACGCAUUUACAUACCAUUACGUUAUUCUCAUCGAUCAAACAUAAAUAUAGCCCGAAUCCGAACUAACAGUAACAUCAGAAGAUAAUUAUCCCCGAUCAAUGCUAAGACCACACUAGCACAAAAUGAUCCAACAACAUCGUUUUGAACAGUAUCAUGUUUGUACAAUACUUCUUUGUAAAUAUUUUUGCUCCGGUUUGUGUAACCAACAAAGACAAAUUAUAAAUUAUUUACGAGGUUGUAAAAACAAAUAAUGAGACUGCUUUUUACUUUUAAUGGCUUAUUAUAGAUGUCGUUAGACUUCUAGUUUGAUUUUUAAUAGUGACGCCCUUAGGGACACAUUCCCUUAGGAAAGAAGUAGAAAGUUAUAGAAUUCUCUCUGGCUCGAGCAACAAGAGGAGUCUUUACCCGCUGGUUUUUAGAAAGUUCCUGAAGUUGACUUGCCCAUAUUAGAAAGAUUCCCUGAUACAAAACCCCCCACUUUCAAAAACCCCCAUC
rnacentral:lncRNA from 1 species